UGUCUUUUUGAGAAUAAUUUAAAGUCUGACCUGCCCACUGAUGAAAAAUUAAAGGGCCGCAGUAUUUUGACUGUGCAAAGGUAGCAUAAUCAUUUGUCUUUUAAUUAAAGGCUGGAAUGAAUGGUUGGACGUAAUAUUAACUGUCUCAUUUUAAUAAGAUUAAAAAUUUAGUUUUUUAGUCAAAAAGCUAAAAUAAAUUUAAAAGACGAGAAGACCCUAUAGAUCUUUAUAAUUAUAUGUUAUAGUAUUUUUAUAGAAAUUUAAAGUAUUACUAUAAUUGAAAUUAUUUUAUUGGGGUGAUAGAAAAAUUAAGAAAACUUUUUUUUAAUAUAAAACAAAGAUUAUUGAUAAAUUUGAUCCAUAAAUUAUGAUUAAAAGAUUAAGAUACCUUAGGGAUAACAGCGUAAUUUUUUUAGAGAGUUCAUAUCGAUAAAAAAGAUUGCGACCUCGAUGUUGAAUUAAAGAAGUUUUUAAAUGCAGAAGUUUAAAAAAAUAGGUCUGUUCGACCUUUAAAUCUUUACAUGAUCUGAGUUCAACCCGG
rnacentral:rRNA from 1 species